rnacentral:rRNA from 1 species
UACAGAGGUCCCAAGCGUUGUUCGGAUUCACUGGGCGUAAAGGGUGCGUAGGCGGUCGGGUAAGUCUGAUGUGAAAUCUCACAGCUUAACUGUGAAACUGCAUUGGAUACUAUCCGGCUAGAGGAAUGGAGGGGAGACUGGAAUUCCUGGUGUAGCGGUGAAAUGCGCAGAUAUCAGGAGGAACACCAAUGGCGAAGGCAGCUCGCUGGGACGGUACUGACGCUGAGACGCGAAAGCGUGGGGAGCAAACAGG